GGCCUUUUAGCUCAGUCAGUAAAGAAUCUGCCUGCAAUGCAGGAGACCCGGGUUCGAUUCCUGGGUCA
rnacentral:tRNA from 1 species